CAGCGCCGCGGGAAUACAGAGGGUGCGAGCGUUAAUCGGAUUUACUGGGCGUAAAGCGUGCGUAGGCGGCUUUUUAAGUCGGAUGUGAAAUCCCUGAGCUUAACUUAGGAAUUGCAUUCGAUACUGGGAAGCUAGAGUAUGGGAGAGGAUGGUAGAAUUCCAGGUGUAGCGGUGAAAUGCGUAGAGAUCUGGAGGAAUACCGAUGGCGAAGGCAGCCAUCUGGCCUAAUACUGACGCUGAGGUACGAAAGCAUGGGGAGCAAACAGGAUUAGAUACCCCGGUAGUCCCUGUCUCUUAUACA
rnacentral:rRNA from 1 species